UUUUAGGACAACUCCCUCUAAGGUGUUAAGUUUCUACUAUUCUCACAGAUCUUGCUUUGUAGGAAUUCCUGGUCUAGGAAGUUCCAAGUUAUCUACAGGUGUAUCUUUGAACCAAUCUGGAGAAACCUGUGAAAGUCUGGUGUUCCUACAGAUAUGUUGUAUUAGAUGAGGGAGUCUGUGGGGGAGUCCUUGACCUAAGAUAAUACAAGCAUGCCCCAAGGUUUCUGCUGCUUCUCCAGGAACUAAAUAUAAGUUUAUCAGUCAUCUUUCUCUGUCUGCUAAACAAAGAUAAUCAUAGUGCACCCACGGGCAACCCAUAGCCUUCCAGGAACCAAUAAGCCUCUUCUGGAAUACUCUACUUCCAACAAUAGCUUACUUCUGCUGUGAAUGUCUGAGAAGACCGGCAUAAUGAAAAGAGUUUGGGACAAAUGAACCAGAGAGAAAACCUCAUGAAUGCUUCAGAAUGCAUUUCAGCACUUCACUAGACAAAGCUGGGAAAGCAUGGCCCUAUUCCAACAGACUCCCCGGAGGCCUGGUCUCAGGAGUGGAAUUACGGAGUUGUAGGAUGUAGACAGCACAGAGCUCUUACACAGGUAUCCACCAAGUUUGCAGGAAGUUAUCAUCCAGAUACUUCAGCUAUAAUAUAGUAUACACAUUUUUGAUGGUCCUUGCUGUCUACAAAAUCAUACACUAAAAGUAACAGGGCUUAUGGGAAAAAUGUUAAAGGCAGACUACUCAAACAAUACAACCUGGUAACUAGAACAAAGAUGUGUUUGCUCCAAAUAAUUAAAAUACCACUAUAAAUACAGGAUUUUUUUUCCCGAAGGUGUAAACUUUGACCUAAGAGGACUAAGGAAGGAUUAAUAUGGAGACAAAAGCCCAAUGCACAAACUAUGAAUGAAGCAAGUAUUUCCAAAAUAAAGCCCAUGGCCUAACUGAACUGGGUAUAAAAACAUUCAGUGGAUGGGUAUCUUUAUAGCAGCAGGCACACCUCAUACAUGGGGGUUCGGUUGCAGACCUCUGCAAUAAAGUGAAUAUCGCAAUAAAAAGAGUCAAAUAGUUUUUUUGGUUUCCCAGUGCAUAUCAAAGUUAUGUCCACACUUUACCCUAAUUAAAAAAUACUUUAUUGCUAAAAAAGGCUAACUACCAUCUGAGUUUUUAGUGAGUCAUAAUCACUGAUCACAGAUCACCGUAACAAAUAAAUAAUGAAAGUAUGAAAUACUCUGAGAUUUACCAAAAUGUGACACAGACACGAAGUAUACAGAUGCUGCUGGAAAAAUGGUGCCCACAGACUUGCUCCACAGGGCUGCCACAAACCUUCAAUUAGUAAAACAACACAGUAUUUGUGAAGCGCAAUAAAACGAAGUGCAACGAAACACGGUAUACCUGCAUCGUAUUCUCCCAUGGCUUGCUUCCACAUACGCUUUCAUCUGCUUUUAUUUGCUGGAGCAAAACACUGAUGUGCUGAGAAAUACUAUGGAUCAACCAGUAAGAUCAUCUCAUUGUACCGUCACCGUUUCUUCCACUUACCAACUGCAACGCGCUAACUGCAUUACAGAAAGUUGCCGAAGGAGAGUACUGUUUCAGAUACUACAACUGUUGUUCGUGUAUUAUAAAAAAACAAAAAAAACCUCAGCCUGAGUUCUAGUUUUCUUUUACUUUUUCACAGUAUCACGAUGCAAAAAAAGUUUUAAAAUGUUAAUAUGGUCCAAAUUUGAGAACCAUGAAUGAAGCAAGCAAGUACUUUAAAAAUAAAGCCUGUGGCCUAACUGAACUGGGUGUAAAAACAUUCAGUGGAUGGGUAUCCUUAUAAGAGCAGGCACACUUCAAUUUUGGGGGUUCAGUUCAGAUCACUGAUCAACUUUUCCUUCAAGUUUUUAUAGGGGGGUGGGGGGGAAGGCUUGUAUUGUAGCCCCCAAAGAGGCCAAGAACAUUUCCAACACUUGUAAGAGUUUUUUUUUUGGUUUCCAUAGGCAUAUGUUCAGUCAAUUGGGAAUUGAUUCCUAUUUCAAAUAUAAAGAUUCAACUGUUUUUCUACAUCAAUAACCAAGUGAUCUCAGUACCAUUCUUUGAAUAGUUCAUUCUUUCUCUACUGCUACAAUACCACCACUGCCAAAUCAAUUUUUUAAUUUUUUCAUUUACUUAACAAAUAUUUACAUACUAUCCAUCAUGUGCCAGACUUUCUAAAAUUUAACUCAUUUCAAACCUCAAAACAACUCUAUGAAGUUGGUACUGUCGCCUCAUUUUAUAGAUCGAAGGAGGGAAAAACUAAGUAACUUGAUCAAGAUCACACAGUGAAUUAGUGGAGGGGCUGGGAUUUGAACCUUGGGAGGAAGGCUUGACUCCCAAGAGUCCAGGCUCUUAACCCCUGUGCUAUGAUGUCUCUCAUAUAUGCGUGAGUGUUUAUGGGCUCUAUUCCUAUGUCCUUUCCACACAUGUCUUAAUUAAUGGUCUUAAAAUGUAUCUGCAUAGGGGAAGCCCCCACCCCCCGGCAGUUUUCUUCUUUGUGAAUAUGACUGUUCUUGCCAUAUGGACUCUUUGGUCCAUGUGUAUUUUAGAGUCAACUUGUCAAGUUACAUGAAAAAACUAGUCGAGAUUUGAAUGGGAUAAUAUUAACUAUAUAGAUUAAUUUGGGAUUAAGGGACAUCUUUAUGACACUGAGUCUUCCUAUCCACAAGACAAUAUACCUCUACAUUUUGGAUCUUCUAGAUCUUUCAGUAAAGUUUUAAAAUCCUUGUAUCUUUUGUAGGAUGUAUUCUUAACAUAGCUUACUGCUAUUGUAGUUUCUGUGGGUGUUAGUAUUAUUCUAAAAAAAAAAAAAGCUUUUAUUUUUUCUUACUGAGUUAUCAAUGAAACUAACAUUCAUGUUGAGCUUAUAUUUGAAAACCCUGGUAAGCUGUUAACAAUUUUAACAGUUUAUCUAACAUCUAUUCUUUGCUUUUGUUUUGAAAUCAUUAAUACCCAAGUAUAGAACUGUAAUGCAUUUUUUCUCAUUUACUGAGAUAAUAUGGUCUUUCUCCUUUAUUAACAUAAUAUGUUGCAUAUGUAAGUUUUCUAAUCUUACAAUGUCUUUAUAUUCCUAGCAUAAGUCUAAUUUAGUCAUGAGGCAUUACUUCAGAUAGAUAUUGAUGAAUUUGGUUUGCUAGUAUGUUUUGGUUUUUUUUUUUUUUUUUUUUUUAUUUAUGUUCAUAAAUGAGAGUACCUUCUAAUUUUCUUUCUUAUACUCUACUUGUCUGAUUUUGGUAUCAAGUUUAUACUGUUUUUACAAAAUAAGUGGGGGAACCUACCAUCCUUUCCUACCUUGGGGGGAGUUUAACAAUGGUUAACAUGGUGUUCUUCGGACGUCUGGUAGAACCUGCUGUCAGACCAAUUUUGUAGGCCUCUUUUUAGUUUUUGGGGUUUUAUUUUUUAAUAUUUGUUGUUUUUUAAAAAGUUUUUCUUGAUAAUUACUUAUAAUAGUUAUUAUAGUCAAUUCACGUGUUCUGUUUCUUUUUGAAAUAUCUUGGUAAUUACUAUAUAUUGAGAUAUAUAGUUAGUAACAUAAUAAAUAUACUUAUAUAUUACAUAAUAUAUAAUGAAUAAUAUAUAAAAUAACGUUCUUAAGGAAAUUGCCUGUUUUCUUUAAAUCGAAGAGUAAAUAAAUUUCUCACAGAUUUUUCCAUUUGUUUUUUAUUUCUACUAUGCCUGAUGUGUCAUUCCUAUA